UUACAAGAGUACUGUUCAGGAA
rnacentral:siRNA from 1 species